AUGAACGCUAGCUACAGGCUUAACACAUGCAAGUCGAGGGAAACGAUAUUGGAAGCUUGCUUCUGAUAGGCGUCGACCGGCGCACGGGUGAGUAACGCGUAUCCAACCUGCCCAUCACUUGGGGAUAACCUUGUGAAAGUAAGACUAAUACCCAAUGACGUCUCUAGAAGACAUCUGAAAGAGAUUAAAGAUUUAUCGGUGAUGGAUGGGGAUGCGUCUGAUUAGCUUGUUGGCGGGGUAACGGCCCACCAAGGCGACGAUCAGUAGGGGUUCUGAGAGGAAGGUCCCCCACAUUGGAACUGAGACACGGUCCAAACUCCUACGGGAGGCAGCAGUGAGGAAUAUUGGUCAAUGGACGAGAGUCUGAACCAGCCAAGUAGCGUGCAGGAUGACGGCCCUAUGGGUUGUAAACUGCUUUUAUAAGGGAAUAAAGUGGGAGUCGUGACUCUUUUUGCAUGUACCUUAUGAAUAAGGACCGGCUAAUUCCGUG
rnacentral:rRNA from 1 species